UUUCAGAUUAAAUAGAUCACAUUUGCAAUAAUAGUGAUGAUUCCGUUAAAGAUCCUGACUACUGCCCAGACAAUAAACCAGUAACUCAAGAUAUGAAUAACAACUCUGACGCUUCAGAAGAGAUGGAUAUUUCAGUUCCAAAUGAUCAAGAACCUCUUGAAGUUAUAGAAAACAAACAUUUUAUUGAGUGUGGAAGAUUAGAUAUUUUAGAUGGCACUGACUAUACAGCA